rnacentral:rRNA from 1 species
GAAAGUAAAAAAGGGCGCAUGGCGGAUGCCUUGGCUCUCGGAGGCGAUGAAGGACGUGAUAAGCUGCGAUAAGCUUCGGGAAGGUGCAAAUAACCUUUGAUCCGAAGAUUUCCGAAUGGGACAACCCGUCAUUCUGAAGGAAUGACAUCUUGCAUAGCAAGAGGCUAACGCAGGGAACUGAAACAUCUUAGUACCUGUAGGAAAAGAAAAUAAUAAUGAUUCCCCUAGUAGUGGCGAGCGAACGGGGAUUAGCCCAAACCAAUGUUGUUACGGCAAUAUUGGGGUUGUAGGACCACGAUGUCGCAAGAAAUUUAGUGAGAAGAACCCUUUGGAAAAUGGGACCAUAGACGGUGAUAGUCCGGUAUUCGAAGCUAAAUGAAGCGUAGUGGUAUCCUGAGUAGCGCGGGACACGAGGAAUCUUGCGUGAAUCUGCCGGGACCAUCCGGUAAGGCUAAAUACUCCCGAGAGACCGAUAGCGAACCAGUACUGUGAAGGAAAGGUGAAAAGCACUUCGAACAGAAGAGUGAAAUAGUCCCUGAAACCAUGCGCCUACAAGCGGUCGGAGCAGUGUAAACUGUGACGGCGUGCCUUUUGCAUAAUGAACCUACGAGUUACUUUUUCCGGCAAGGUUAAGCAUCUUGAGAUGUGGAUCCGAAGCGAAAGCGAGUCUGAACAGGGCGGAUAGUCGGAAGGAGUAGACGCGAAACCAAGUGAUCUACCCUUGGGCAGGUUGAAGGUUAGGUAACACUAACUGGAGGACCGAACCGAUAAGCGUUGAAAAGCUUCCGGAUGAACUGAGGGUGGGGGUGAAAGGCUAAUCAAACUUGGAGAUAGCUCGUACUCCCCGAAAUGCAUUUAGGUGCAGCCUUGCGGGUUACUGAUGUGAGGUAGAGCGACUGAUAAGAUGCGAGGGCUUCACCGCCUAUCAAGUCUUGACAAACUCCGAAUGCGCAUCAGUUCUACCGCAGGAGUGAGGGCAUGGGUGCUAAGGUCCGUGCCCGAGAGGAGAAGAAUCCGGACCACCUGCUAAGGUCCCGAAAUGACAGCUAAGUUAAACUAACGAAGUCUGACUGCUAAGACAGCUAGGAUGUUGGCUUGGAAGCAGCCAUUCAUUUAAAGAGUGCGUAACAGCUCACUAGUCGAGGAGUCGGGCGUGGAUAAUAAUCGGGUAUCAAGUUGUCUACCGAAGCAGUGGGAUCAUUUAUAUGAUCGGUAGGGGAGCAUUCCAGUCAGCGUCGAAGGCGUACCGUGAGGUAUUCUGGAGCGUCUGGAAAAGCAAAUGUAGGUAUAAGUAACGAUAAAGGGGGCGGGAAACCCCCUCGCCGAAAGACUAAGGUUUCCUGAUCAACGCUAAUCGGAUCAGGGUUAGUCGGGUCCUAAGGCUCAGCCGAACGGUGAGGCCGAUGGCAGAACAGGUUAAUAUUCCUGUACUACCUUAAGGAGUGACGUGGAGACGGAGGAGUGACAGCGCCGCGGACUGACGGAAUAGUCCGUUGAAGGGUGUAGAUGUUGAUUAUCCCAGGCAAAUCCAGGAUAAGAGUCGAACCUGAUAGUAUACCAAAUUCUUCGGAAUAAGGUAAUAGUGCGUGUAAGCAUACUCCCAAGAAAAUCCGCUAAACUUAAUCUUUAAGGUACCCGUACCGCAAACGGACACACGUAGUCGGGUUGAAUAUACUAAGGCGCUUGAGUGAUUCACGGUUAAGGAACUAGGCAAACUGACCCUGUAACUUCGGGAUAAAGGGUCCUCGCUUAACGGCGAGGCGCAGAGAAUAGGUCCAGGCAACUGUUUAACAAAAACACAGGGCUGUGCAAAAUUGAAAGAUCACGUAUACAGCCUGACACCUGCCCGGUGCUGGAAGGUUAAGAGGAGAUGUCAUCGCAAGAGAAGCAUUGAAUUGAAGCCCCAGUAAACGGCGGCCGUAACUAUAACGGUCCUAAGGUAGCGAAAUUCCUUGUCGGGUAAGUUCCGACCUGCACGAAUGGUGUAAUGAUCUGGACACUGUCUCAACCGUGAGCUCGGUGAAAUUGUAGUAUCGGUGAAGAUGCCGAUUACCCGCGAUGGGACGAAAAGACCCCGUGAACCUUUACUAUAGCUUAACAUUGAAUUUGGGUAAUUGAUGUGUAGGAUAGGCCGGAGACUUUGAAGCAGGUACGCCAGUAUUUGUGGAGUCGCUGUUGAAAUACGGCCCUUUGAUUAUUUGAGUUCUAACUCGUUGUUGCGAGGACACUGUUUGGUGGGUAGUUUGACUGGGGUGGUCGCCUCCAAAAGUGUAACGG